UAAACCAGCCAGACAAACUGUUAGAGCAGGUGUUUUUUCUUUAAAGACUGGAAAGCUUUCAAGCAGAUGAGCGCUUCUCAAACUUAUGCGGUCCAAAACGAAUAGAGGUUGUGUUCUUCAACAUUGAGCUGAGCUGAACAGAGACUGGACAGGGUGACCAGGAUGCCUCAAGCUUUGUCUUUUAGCGGAGCUUGAUCUACCGGAAGGGAGCAGGAGAACGUUGUGGUUGAUUGUGGAAUUCCGAAUUCCACACUGACCUGCGAGUGUGUGGACAAGGCCGACAGACAGCUUCAGUUUUGGGGAUGCUUUGCAGAAAGGUAAAGAUUGGAGGAGAAAUGACUCGAGGGGACCACAGAAUAGGCUGGUUCACCAAGGCGUUGAAUGACGGAUGCCUGAUGGGAGGAGAGAUGACAAUCUGGGAAACGACCACUACCAGGGAAAUGCAUGCUUGGAACCAGAAUGUGAACAUGUGAGAGUAACGUCCAGCCCCCCCAGGGCCGACACUUCGGCCCCACGGCGGUUCCUGAUACGGGGUCCGGUCCCUGCACUCCCCCCGUCCCCUCUGGCCGCACGCCGCGCGGUUUGUCGC